rnacentral:rRNA from 1 species
AUGAAGACCUUUCUCAUCCUUGCCCUCGUGGCGACCACCGCCACAACUGCAGUUAGAGUUCCAGUGCCACAAUUGCAGCCAAAAAAUCCAUCUCAGCAACAGCCACAAGAGCAAGUUCCAUUGGUACAACAACAACAAUUUCCAGGGCAGCAACAACAAUUUCCACCACAACAGCCAUAUCCGCAGCCGCAACCAUUUCCAUCACAACAACCAUAUCUGCAGCUGCAACCAUUUCCGCAGCCGCAACCAUUUCUGCCACAACUACCAUAUCCGCAGCCGCAAUCAUUUCCACCACAACAACCAUAUCCACAACAGCGACCAAAGUAUCUACAACCACAACAACCAAUUUCGCAGCAACAAGCACAACAACAACAACAACAACAACAACAACAACAACAACAACAACAACAACAACAACAACAAAUCCUUCAACAAAUUUUGCAACAACAACUGAUUCCAUGCAGGGAUGUUGUCUUGCAACAACACAACAUAGCGCAUGCAAGCUCACAAGUUUUGCAACAAAGUACUUACCAGCUAUUGCAACAAUUGUGUUGUCAACAACUGUUGCAGAUCCCUGAGCAGUCGAGGUGCCAAGCCAUCCAUAAUGUUGUUCAUGCUAUUAUUAUGCAUCAACAAGAACAACAACAACAGUUGCAACAACAACAACAACAGCAACUGCAACAACAACAACAACAACAACAACAACAACAACAACCGUCAAGCCAGGUCUCCUUCCAACAGCCUCAGCAGCAAUAUCCAUCAAGCCAGGUCUCCUUCCAGCCAUCUCAGCUAAACCCACAAGCUCAGGGCUCCGUCCAACCUCAACAACUGCCCCAGUUCGCGGAAAUAAGGAACCUAGCGCUACAGACGCUACCUGCAAUGUGCAAUGUCUACAUCCCUCCACAUUGCUCGACCACCAUUGCGCCAUUUGGCAUCUUUGGUACCAACUGA